AAUAAGACCUUCAUGCUUAAAUGAACAUGGUGCAAAAAAUAGGAAGAUCACCAUAAGAGACAUUGUAAUGAUACCUGAUGAAAUCAUCUAGAUGCUCUAUGAAGUACCUGAUUAGAGCUACCAGUACCUCUCAAAGAAAAUUAAGUUACCAUGUGUGUUUAUUCAUCAUACCAUAUACAUCCAAAAUGUAUUUAAUAGUGUUAAAUGUUCAAAUGAAAAAAUCAGAAAUACUCUUUCCCAUCUAAUAAUUAGCAAUGAUUCUGAAGAUUAAGGAUGAGUUCAGUGUUUUAUUGGACUACACAAACCAACCAUUUGCAACCUGCAAUUUUUACCACAUCUGAUGCAGACAAAACUGCUGGGGGGGCCUAAGUUUUUUUUUUUUAGAAGCAUCUUUUUUUUAUCUAAUAAUGCUACAUUACACAACAACAACAAAAAAAAACUGUACAUAAUGUUUGAGAAAAAAAUAAAAUGGCAAUGUGAUUAUUUUUGUGUGUGAUGUAACAUGAAUCUUUAUUUAGAUUUCUAUCACAAAGACUAAAAUUUCUUGAAAAUAACUAUGUAUUAUUUUUUUUGUAUAUAAACAUUUAAAUCAAAUGGUCACUAUUUAUUUUGCAGGAUAAAAUAUGUUUGCAUUUACUGGUUCUGGAUUUGCUUGUGAUUAUAUAUAAAACCUUAACAAUAUUAUCAUUAUUAUAAAUGUCCACUUCGAUCUAAAUAUUAAACAAUAAAAAAUU